GCUAGUGCUGGAGAAAAGGGUGAAGAGGAGUAGAGAGUGGCACCCCAAACCUGAAGACCAACUCCUUCCCCAGCUUUUCCUCAGAUGGGCAAUCAGGAGCCAGUAGUAUCUUUUUGGCUUAAACCCAUUGAAUCCUGGCUCUGAACGUUGCAGAUGGCCUGACUUUACGCCAGCUGCCCCCGCGGGCAUGCAGCGAAAUACUGGAGAAGAGCUAAAUACCCAUCAAUAAGGGGCUGUCUAAAUAAAGCAUUACAUCCCUACUUCAGAAUGCCACGCGGACUUCUAAAAAGGAUGUUGCACAUCUGCAGUUGUUAACGGGCGGCCGGAGGGGAAAUCUGCCCGUGGUGUGUCACUGAGGGGCAGCAAAACAGGUCACACGACGGCACAUGUAACGGGAGUGUACUUCCAGGGAAUUACACCCAUCUAUACAUCCACGUGCAAAUACAAAGAGACGUUUGGAAGGAGGCCAAAAUGUAGACUGCGAUCAUCUUUGGGCACGAGGGAGUGCUUUCGGCCUGCCUAGUUAUACCCUCGCACUGGAGCAAGACAGAGACCAUUUUAUUCGGCGCAGUUCCCAGAGUGGGAUUUUCCGGCCUUGGCUGAACGUCUUCUGAAGUUAGAAUGAGCCUUAUCGUUGAAACGCAUAUUUCACGUGGACAUUCUUCGCUGGCCUGGCCGGUUCUCUGUUGUGGGGGAACCGCCGUGUGCUUUGGUGGCUUUUGCAGCUUCCCUAACUUCUUGCAAACACUGGUGCACGCCUCUCCCUCUCCACCCAUUGUGACAAUAAAAAAUGUCCCCAGAUAUUGCCAAGUGUCCCCUGGGGGCAAGGCCACCCCUGGUGGAGAAUCACUGUCUUAGAGGAAGGGGAAAGCAGGCCAGAGGGGAGACUUGGAAAGGGAGACCAGACAGCAUUGCCCCACAAGCUUACAGGGAGCGAGGGCAGGGGCAGCGGGACGCCAAGCUGCCAUCUCUGAAGUCUUCAGUCGAGUUCCACUGAGUGUGACCGGACGUGCAUGGAAAACUGCGAGGAGGCCAAAUCAAGAUAGUGGGUUCACAAGGCACAGCCGUGGGCAUCAGUGGGACUCAGGGCAAACAGGCAACAUGGAGGGGUGCAGGCUCACAGCGGCUGCAUGCUUGGGUCUGGACCUGUCCACUCAGGGCUGCUGGUGCCAUCGGCAGCUCACUCUGGCUUAGCGACUCUGCUCUGUGCCCCUCCCUUGUUGUCACACACAGUUGGUGCCGCUGUUCAAAACAGGGCUGUCUGGAGUCUGCCAUGGCUUGUGCCACAGGGGACCUCCGGAAAAUAGGAAUGACCGGCACUUACUAGGACCCUAACUGCCUGCCAGUGCGGCUCGGAGACCUUGUAAAUAGUUACGCAUUUCAUCCUCACAGCAACCCUGAGAGUGACACCUGACCAUUCCCAUGUCGCAGAUGGGGAAACUGAGGCACAUAGCGAUCAGGUCAGUCCCCCGAGGCCCUCUAACUAGUCAGUGUCAGGUCCAGGGGGCCGGCUUCACUCUUGUGCCCUGCAGAAGUAUGGGAAGAGCCACGGAGACCCAAAGUGAGAGUGACAUUCCCAACUACCGCCAUCAGUGCAGGACUACUCAGGCCGACGCAGUCGAAGUCCUCUACCCACAGUGCUUCUCGUCUUCACAGCGCGGAGUCUUAUUUCAGAUGGGAAACUGAGGCUAGACUCCUGCCCUCUCCGUCCUAACACGUGGCCCUUUGUGCCCUGUGCUGCAGCUGUUCGUGCAUCUGUCACCCCCACGCCCCCCUGGCAGGGGCACCCUCCUCUCACCCUCAGUGCCCGGCACAGAUUGGCCAUCGAGCAAUCUGCUCAGCCUGCUUUGUCUGCUCGGUCUGCCCCGUGCCCGAGCACCCUCCCAGGGUUUGGAGAAAGGGCCACUGCGCGUGUGCUGAGAGCCCCAUCUUUCUAUGGAAACCGUGUGUCCUCCUGGCUCCCGCAGUUCCCCCGGUGACCCCAUUUAAGACUCAGGCCAGGAUGAGGACAGAGAGAAACAAAAGUCCUUCCGAUGUCAUUGCAUCACCAGGGCGGUGGCCUCAGGGGCACUGAGCAGCGGGCCGCAGCAGUGUGGAGUCGAGGCUCCAGCAGUCUGGUGGCAAGUAACAGCCAGGGCCGCAGCAGCAUUGCAGGCUGUACCCUCGGGAUGGCCUCUCCACGCUCUGGAGCCCCUGGCCUCACCUUCAGGCCACUCCACAAGCUACCAACCAGUAGCCUUGCAAGAAACCACUUUUCUGCUCAAGAAAGAUGUAUUCGUCAUCUGCAACUUAGAUCCCGGUGUGGACCAAGAAUAACUGAGAUAAGGAAGAGAGGGCAGGAGGGCAGGAAGGAGGGAAGCCAUGCAUUAUCUUCACUCGGCAAGAAUUACCAGGCAAGUGAGAUACCCCACAGGUCCCACCCUGCCACUUGAAGCGUCAGGAAGUGGCCUGAGGUGGUCUGAGUGGGACCACUCACUUGUGUCAACUCCUAACCUGCUACAGAUGCGGUCCCACCAGAAACAGGAGGUGUGGGCAUUUAACCCACUUUGGGGGCUUGGGGUGGGGGGCAGAACCUGAGCUGAAGCCACUGUUGACAAUCCUGUUCUUACUGAGACCCCUGUCUAGGCUGGCCUCAUUCUAGAAAGAGCCUUAGACCCUGUCAUCCUAACUGCUCCUCAACUCAGGUGUUAAUGGGGCACCCUCACCUGGUGCACCGAGGGGAGAGCUGACCUGAACCCCUUCAAGUCCAUGCCCUGUGGACUGCAUGACUGCAGACUUGCAGUGGGUCCACCGGCUGGGACUAACAUCAUGUGACAUUAAUACGGGCUACGAAGGCCUGCAGUGCUGGCCCACUGGACCAGACAGCCCAGGCUGCGGGCUAAGGGCAGCCUGGUUCUUUCACCCCUAGCUCUGCCCCUGUGACCCCAUCUCUCAGAACCUUCCCUGCCCUUGGCAAGAAGUGGUCAAAGAAGUCUCCAGUUACGGUGGUUGUCCAGGCCCACCCUGGCCCCUGAAGUUCCCCUCCUCGCCCUGGUCCUUCAAUCCACGGGCAGAGCCUUGACCCAUCCAGAUACAAAACUCGCCAAAACCCUCUUUGCACCUCUGUGGGAAGAAUUCUUAGCAUGGGCAGACCACACGAAGCCUUCCGGUGGAAGGAUAAUCACUUCUACGUGUUUUUCCACAGUGUAGAUGCCUAGGUAUGCCUCCCUAAGUAAAAUUAUUUAGAGAAUCA